rfam:Oryza sativa Japonica Group DNA, chromosome 9, cultivar: Nipponbare, complete sequence.
AAAAAGGCAAACCCUGAGUUUCCGUAUCUAACUUUGACGGUCCGUUUUAUAUGAAUUUUUUUUAUAAUUCGUAUUUUUAUUGUUGUUAGAUGAUAAAACAUGAUUAAUAUUUUAUACGUGACUUGUCUUUUUAAUUUUUUUUAUAAUAUUUUUAAAUAAGACGGACGGUUAAACAUUGGACACAGAGUCUUUUCGACGGAGGGAGA